GACGAACGCUGGCGGCGUGCCUAAUACAUGCAAGUCGAACGCAGUGGGGACGGGUGAGUAACACCUGGGUAACCUCCCAUCAGAGGGGAUAACACUUGGCAACAGGUGCUAAACCGAUACUGAUGGAUGGACCCGCGGUGCUUUAGCUAGUUGGUGGGGUAACGGCUCACCUAGGCCACGAUGCAUAGCUGGCCGGAGAGGGUGACCAGCCACACUGGAACUGAGACACGGCCCAGACUCCUACGGGAGGCAGCAGUGGGGAAUCUGCGGCAAUGGACGAAAGUCUGACGGAGCAACGCCGCGUGAGUGAAGAAGGUUUUCGGAUCGUAAAGCACUGUUGUUAGAGAAGCGGUAUCUAACCAGAAAGCCACGGCUAACUACGUGCCAGCAGCCGCGGUAAUAC
rnacentral:rRNA from 1 species